rnacentral:rRNA from 1 species
UGAGGAAUAUUAGGCAAUGGGGGCAACCCUGACCUAGCCAUGCCGCGUGGGUGAAGAAGGUCCUAGGAUUGUAAAGCCCUUUCGACGGGGAAGAUGAUGACGGUACCCGUAGAAGAAGCCCCGGCUAACUUCGUGCCAGCAGCCGCGGUAAUACGAAGGGGGCUAGCGUUGUUCGGAAUUACUGGGCGUAAAGGGCGUGUAGGCGGCACAUUCAGUCAGAGGUGAAAGCCCCGGGCUCAACCUGGGAACUGCCUUUGAUACUGAUGAGCUAGAGUCCGGGAGAGGAUAGUGGAAUUCCCAGUGUAGAGGUGAAAUUCGUAGAUAUUGGGAAGAACACCGGUGGCGAAGGCGGCUAUCUGGACCGGUACUGACGCUGAGGCGCGAAAGCGUGGGGAGCAAACAGGAUUAGAUACCCCCGUAGUCC